UGAGAUCCGACAGGACGUGCCACGGCGCCCUCCAUCCAGCCCACCAUGCCCCUCCGCUGCCCCCAACUCGCCCGAUCUGUUGUAUGAUUGUCGCACUAGCAACUCGCUCAUAGGAGGCCGCGGGGUAAGUUACCACCGGCAGCGACGGCAUAGGAUAGGGGCAAGAAGGUCAGGGGUGGAGCCGCUGAAGGGAAGGUCGACUGGCUGGGCUCGGUCACCGCGUUUGGCUCCGCCUCUGCCGAGAAGAGAAUGGUGGGCGGCGUGGCGAGGGGGCCGAAACUGCUGCAUCUUGCAUAUUCUGAACAGCAUCGACGAGUCACCGUAUGUUCGCCACUUCCAGCUGCUUCGUCUUUGCGGUCGCCCUCAGCCCCUCGCCAAUGGUUUCGAGUUCCCGGACUUCCCGUGUGAGGACAGCCACAUCUACACGGUUAAUUCCCCGCGCGUCUGGUCCUCACUUCCUUCCUCUGUGCCGCAUGCCUGCUGGCUGCUGCCCGUGCGUGAAGCCCAACAGCCUAGCUCCCUUGCUAGGUUUUUUCUUCUUUGUCUAGAUAUUCUGCUCUCUACUUGAUGCAUAGGAGCCCUGCAAAAGUAGAUCAGACGGCUCGCUUGCUUUUUUUUCCAAUUCUAGAUAUUCUGCUCUCAAAUUGAUGCACAAGAGCGUUGCAGAAGUAGAUCUGAUGGCUGUUCGUGCUCCCCCUUCUCUGUUCUUUACUAUUAUUCAUCCACAUCUUCUCUUUAAUCUUGCUUCAGUUGAUAAUUCCAGCAAUUCCGAAUCUGAUGCACCAUUUCUUUUUUAUGUUUUUGCUUUUGCAGGAUCUGAAGUUAUAUUAAUGUGAGAUAUUUAAAGAAUUUGGAGAUGUUGGCUUGGAGAUCUUUUUUUCUCCUCGAGGCCUAACAUUUGUCUUGCUCUACGCAGUAUCCGGGUAUGCUAAAGAUUGAUCCUGUGAGGUUUCUUGAGCUUGUGUUCGGGGGUUUCUAUUCAGCCUAAUGCAAAUUUGUUUUGCUGAUUUUAGACCUGGCAAGUAGUAAGGUAUAUGGCUCCUAGCAGUCCGAAGAUUGUGCCGCACUGUUGUUAAGGCUUGAUUUGUUUAUCAUCAACAGAUGAGACAAGAUAAAAAACAUAUUUGUCAAUUCGUUGGAGCACGAGCCACAUGAUUUGGCGGCUGUUCUCUUCUUUUGGAUCCGCAAAUCUUAGUCUUCCGAGCAAAGGUUGCAUACACCUUAUAAGUUUCCUAAGUAGCGCAAGUUAUUUCAAUCUUACUUCCACUGAAUAUCCAUUAUUAUUAGCAGAUGGAAAUGCAAUAGCAUGAAACAUAUGUAACCACUCUCACAUUCUAACCCAAUCAUAAUGCUACACAAGUAAGAUAAGCUGUUCAGUUUUUUGAUUGAACUAUAGAUAUCUGUGAUAGCUUGGUCUCUUUUUUACAGCACGCAUGGGUAUCUCAGGGAUAAGAAGUCUUUAUUUUAGUCUCAGUUGAAGUGAAAUUUGUUCACAGUGCCAUUAAGUGCCUCUUUUCCUUACUUUGCCACUGUAAGCAAGCUAGGCAUGGUUAGUUUUUCUGCAGUAACUCCAUAGAUGAACCAUCUAUAAUAUUUGUUAUUCAACACAUAAAUUUGUAAUUGGGUUGCUCAUCUGUUGCAUCACUAUUCAGUCUAUGUUAUUGAUCACUCUUUUGACUGUCACACCUUUUCCUUCUACAAUUCACAGACAUUCUCAUGUAUCACUGUGUUCCGUGUAGGAGUUAAGCCUCGGGAUCAUAAGUGCCUCAAAGGGAGAAACAGGAACAAGCUGUCGAGUGUAAUGAAGGGGUAAUUUCCUUUUCGCAUGUUUAGGCAAGGUGGGGGGUAUAGAUUUAACUAUUGUGUGCAUUGUCAGUUAUGGCGUUGGUUAUGUUUUCUCUUCUGGUCAAGGGUGGAACAAAAUUUCUACUUUAUUGUUCUCCUAUUCCGAGAAUUUUCUUCGGUCAAAUGCUCUCUAAUUUUCUUUGUGAAGAUUAACUUACUGUCAAAUCUUACAUGCCAUUAUUCUUACAGUAGGCAGCCGACAACAAAUGCGCAAGGCUGUGAUAUGCUCUCAUCACUCAGUAAUUUCUAUUGAAGGAAGAUGUCUUUUUAAUGAUAAAAUGUAGAAAAAUACUUUUUAAUCUUCUGCUUUACAAUAAUAGUAAUAUAAUUAUUAUUAAGAAGGAUGGUACAUAUGAAUGCAGUUAAUAUCAUUUGUUGCUUUAUUGCUCUAGGUGGUAUUCCAUAACCUGUACUCGGUUGUAGAUGUCACUGAAUGAUUGCAGAAGCACAUGUGCUGCCACCUUGAAGGAACUCUUACUGAAAAUCAUCUUCUAUGUUUACUAAAUUGCUAGAACAAAAAAAUUAUCUUAUGUCUUCGCCACCAUCACAGCUUUCGUCAGGAACUAAUUCACCCUCUUCACUACAUUAUUGGGCUAUCUAUGCUUUAUGUCUUAAUGGAGCACUUGGCCUUAUGAAUAAAGAUAGCCACUCAUGCAUCUCGCUGAGAAAAGGAUAAUAGAAUGGCCAAGUCUUUCGUGACAGGUGUAGAUGGUUCCUUUUGUUUAUGCAGUACGAGGAUACCAACAGAAGUGAGUUCACGUUUUGCCCAUUCUAUUCCUUUUUCUCUGUUGUAAUCAAAAGUUUUUAAGAUUAUUUUGUUCUUCAACAAUUUAGAGCCUAAAUGAUCCAUAUCUCAAGUGUCAACGUAUCAAAAUCCUGUCGUUUGAAUGUUGAUAUCUGUAAUCAUAGGCCUUAUGAGACGUUUAAUUUCUAAGUUUUUAUUUCCAUCUAUUCAUCACCUUGCAGUCUUCGUAAAUAUUGCUGAUGCCACUGCAUUAUAAUUGACUUACAGAUCUUUGGUUGUUGAGCUGAUAUUUCUCAGCAGUUAUUUGCUUAUCUCUUUUUCUUGGUCAGUUCUACGAGGUACAUAGUUAUGUUCCUCCCAGUUUCAUAUGAUUAUUGUUAAUAUGUUAUUUUCUUAUUUUAUUUCCUAUUUUGCUACAUCACCCUUUUGUUUGAUGCAAGGCUGCAUUAUUUAUGUUGUCAUUUUUUGUUAACAAAACGAAGGAGCAAAUGUCUCAAUGUUAGGUACUGCCUUUGGAAUUUAGAUAUAAUGUGCUAUGAUCCUGUUCUUUUAAUCAAAGUCACCGUCGCAUCCAUAUAUACAUUGCGGAAGACAUCACCCAUGGCUUCUGUCCAAGAUCAACCAGUAUGCUCAAGCUCGCUGGUCCCUUGUGGUGAAAGCUAGUCGAAAAUCAUGUUGCAGGAGAAGCAUCAAGGGACCUUGGAUGCUGAGGUAUAUAAGGUGCUCUUCUUGGUUAGGAAUUUUCAGUUUCGUGAUGGUAUUCGAAGAAUUAAUGUUCGGUUGCACCUACUUAUAUCAAGUAGCAGUUCUAGCUUGUGUCCGCAUUAGUUUUUUGUACUGGAAAGUCCUAAUGGUUGUUUAUGAGUGUUUCGGCUUGCCCAUAGGUUAGCGGUUAUGUCGUACAACCUGUAAUCGAUGUGGAAGUGUCAUAUGUAUUUUCCCUUUGAACUACA